GCAGACUCACUCUGCACCCGACUGCAGCCCCAGGCGGGUGCUUUUUUCGUCUGCCAGAGAAACGUUCCAGGUGCUGUGACCGCCUGACCUGUUAAGGACGAUGCAGCCACCUGGGGAUACAUGC
rnacentral:snoRNA from 1 species